rnacentral:rRNA from 1 species
CGACUCUCGGCAACGGAUAUCUCGGCUCACGCAUCGAUGAAGAACGUAGCAAAAUGCGAUACUUGGUGUGAAUUGCAGAAUCCCGUGAACCAUCGAGUUUUUGAACGCAAGUUGCGCCCGAAGCCAUUUGGUUGAGGGCACGUCUGCUUGGGCGUCACG